GUUAGGCACUGGCCAUAUAGGAGGGAGUAAGACUGGCACUGCUUUCAGAGUGCUCAGGAUCUAAUAAGUGAACAAUUUCCAAAAAGAACUGAAUUUUCUUUUAUCAAAUUUGGAAGGCUUGUGCUUUAUAGCUCUUUGCAGGCUUUUGGUAGAACAGAACAAAGUCCCUUAGGAAACUUAAUGUAACAGUAACCAAAUGUCCUUGUUAAGCGGCCAUUUAUGGGUCUAUUAAAUCUGAUCUGAACUGUGAUAUUUUGUGGUAAAUCUUUUCUC
rnacentral:lncRNA from 1 species